CGCGUAGGCGGCUUUAUAAGUCUGGAGUGAAAGUCCUCUUUUCAAGGGAGGAAUUGCUUUGGAAACUAUAGAGCUUGAGUGCAGGAGAGGUUAUCGGAAUUCCCGGUGUAGCGGUGAAAUGCGUAGAUAUCGGGAGGAACAUCGGUGGCGAAGGCGGGUAACUGGACUGCAACUGACGCUGAGGCGCGAAAGUGUAGGGAGCAAACA
rnacentral:rRNA from 1 species